rnacentral:rRNA from 1 species
GACGAACGCUGGCGGCGUGCUUAACACAUGCAAGUCGUACGGUAAGGCCCUUUCGGGGGUACACGAGUGGCGAACGGGUGAGUAACACGUGAGUAACCUGCCCACAACUUUGGGAUAACGCUAGGAAACUGGUGCUAAUACUGGAUAUGUGCUCCUGCUGCAUGGUGGGGGUUGGAAAGCUCCGGCGGGUGUGGAUGGACUUGCGGCCUAUCAUCUUGUUGGUGGGGUAGUGGCCUACCAAGGCGGCGACGGGUAGCCGGCCUGAGAGGGUGACCGGCCACAUUGGGACUGAGAUACGGCCCAGACUCCUACAGGAGGCAGCAGUGGGGAAUAUUGCACAAUGGGCGCAAGCCUGAUGCAGCAACGCCGCGUGCGGGAUGACGGCCUUCGGGUUGUAAACCGCUUUCAGCAGGGACGAAGCUUUUUGUGACGGUACCUGCAGAAGAAGCACCGGCUAACUACGUG